CACUCCUGCGGGAGGCAGCAGUGGGGAAUUUUGGACAAUGGGCGAAAGCCUGAUCCAGCAAUGCCGCGUGAGUGAAGAAGGCCUUCGGGUUGUAAAGCUCUUUUGUCAGGGAAGAAACGGUGAGAGCUAAUAUCUCUUGCUAAUGACGGUACCUGAAGAAUAAGCACCGGCUAACUACGUGCCAGCAGCCGCGGUAAUACGUAGGGUGCAAGCGUUAAUCGGAAUUACUGGGCGUAAAGCGUGCGCAGGCGGUUUUGUAAGUCUGAUGUGAAAUCCCCGGGCUCAACCUGGGAAUUGCAUUGGAGACUGCAAGGCUAGAAUCUGGCAGAGGGGGGUAGAAUUCCACGUGUAGCAGUGAAAUGCGUAGAUAUGUGGAGGAACACCGAUGGCGAAGGCAGCCCCCUGGGUCAAGAUUGACGCUCAUGCACGAAAGCGUGGGGAGCAAACAGGAUUAGAAACCCUGGUAGUCCCAUG
rnacentral:rRNA from 1 species